rnacentral:rRNA from 1 species
AUGAACACAUCCACUUUGGACAUGAGUUCUUCGUCAUCUUCAUCUGGCGACGAUGAACUCAUACUUGCAGCAUUCGCCGAGCGCGAGGAGGAAGAGAGGAUGAACGCUCGACGCCAUGGCGGUUCCAAGCAUGGACGUCAAACAAUCAAUCGAGGAAGAGAUGCCGGAUUUGUUCUUCUGUGGGACGACUACUUCAAAGAAGUUCCUCGCUAUCCCGAACAUUUGUUUCGACGAAGGUUCGUAAUUACUACACUUCUCUGCUUUAGCCCUUUUUUCAUUUCCCUGUCUCAUUUACUUUUUAUGCACAAAUUUAGGAUGUCCCGUAAUUUGUUCAAACGCAUAGCCGAUAGUAUACUUGAGCAUGAUUAUGAUGGUUAUUUUACUCAAAAAAGAAGUGCUUCUGGAGCUCUUGGGUUACAUCCUCUGCAAAAGAUGACCGCAGCAAUGCGGAUGCUAACAUAUGGAAUAGCAGCUGAUGGUGCUGAUGAGUACAUCCGGUCCGCUGAGGCUACUAAUUUAGAGUCUUGCAAGAAAUUUGUGAUCAAAGUUUAUGAAGUUUUUGGGGAAAGGUACCUGAGAUCUCCAAAUGAAGAAGACAUUGCCAGGUUACUUGCAAUAGGGGAGGAAAGAGGAUUUCCUGGUAUGUUAGGGAGCAUAGAUUGCAUGCACUGGGGUUGGAAAAAUUGCCCCAAAAAAUGGCAUGGCAUGUUUAAAGGCCAUGUCAGCGAGCCCACUAUGAUCUUGGAAGCAGUUGCUUCACAAGAUCUUUGGAUUUGGCAUGCUUAUUUUGGUUUACCAGGGUCUCUGAAUGAUAUAAAUGUUCUUCAACGUUCUCCUGUUUUUACAAAGCUAGCUGAAGGCCAAACUCCUCCAGUGAAUUAUAGCAUCAAUGGCCAUCAGUACACAAUGGGGUAUUAUCUUGCAGAUGGUAUCUAUCCACGGUGGGCAACAUUUGUGAAGAGCAUACCAGCUCCAGAUACCAGAAAACAUAAAACUUUUGCCAAGAGGCAAGAGGGGGCUAGGAAAGAUGUGGAACGAGCCUUUGGAGUUCUUCAAUCCCGUUUUGCCAUUGUUCGUGGACCUGCUAAAGGAUGGAAACGUAAAGAAAUCGGUGAUGUCAUGAAAGCUUGUGUCAUAAUGCACAAUAUGAUAGUUGAAGAGGAGCGACAAACUGGUCGGCAAAGCUGCACUUUUGAGGCAAUGGGAGAAAGAGUCACGGUCUCUCAUACUCAUGCGGAACAACUGAGCUCUUUUAUUCAGAUGACUCACCGGAUUAGAAAUCAAGGUGAACAUGAUCAGCUUAAACUUGAUCUAAUUGACCAUGUGUGGCAAAAGUUUGGAAACGAGUGA